rnacentral:ncRNA from 1 species
UUAUUCAUCAUAGAAAUUGGUUCUGCUUAGCUGCUGAUUAAAAGGGAAUCGUGUGAAAAUCACGAACUGUCGCGCAACUGUAAGUAACUGAAGUCUUUAUAAAAAAUCCACUGUGCUAAAGCAUGGGAAGGAAAUAGAGAUGUUACAAGUCAGGAGACCUGCCUUUUCUUUAAACAAAAA